GGAAGAGAGAGCCUCAGGCCUAAGUGAGAACACUGCAAUAGAUCUAAAGAUGGGGCAGUUGGAGGCUAUCAGCCAACUAUGCUCCCUUAAAGGGUCAUCUGAAUGGUGCACCUUCGUGGCCACAACAAGGAGUUACUCUGAGGGAAAGAUAGGUACUUUCAACUGAACAUUCAUGAAGAUUACUCUAAUGAGGUGACAACGUUUGAGCAGAGAACCAGAUGGCUAGAAGGAACCAUGUUUGGAGGAAGAAGAUUCCAGUGCCUUUCAAUGUUGAAUACAAGGGCAACAGCCCUAGGGUGGAAUGGAAGUUGACUUGAUCAAGGAACUCAAAGGUUUAAGAUUCACUUUGGUCAAGUCCGGGUGUGGUGGCUCAUGCCUGUAAUCCCAGCACUUUGGGAGGCCAAGGUGGGUGGAUUACCUGAGGUCGGGAAUUCGAGACCAGCCUGACCAACAUGGAGAAACCCCGUCUCUAUUAAAAAUACAAAAAAAUUAGCUGGGCGUGGUGGUGCAUGCCCGUAAUCCCAGCUACUCAGGAGGCUGAGGCAGGAGGAUCACUUGAACCUGGGAGGUGGAGGUUGCAGUGAGCCAAGAUUGCACCAUUGCACUCCAGUCUGGGCAACAAGAGUGAAACUCCAUCUCAAAAAAUAAAAUAAAUAGAUAAAAUUAAAAUUAAAUAAAAUAUUUAAAAAAGAUUAACUUUGAUCAAAUGAUUCUCACUCAUAAGCAAAAGGCUAUCACCUAUCGUAAUGCU
rnacentral:lncRNA from 10 species